AAUGCGUGGGCAGGUUGGUUUUUGUACAGACGGAAAGUGAAAUCCCCUGAACUUAACGUAGGAACUUUUCAUUUGUGCCUGCCAUGGGUUAUGAGUUAUGGCAGAGGUGGGGUUGAAUUCCCACGUGUAGCAGUGAAAUGCGUAGAGAUAUGGAGGAAUACCGAUGGCGCAGUCAGCCCCAUGGGUCAAUACUGUCGUUCAUGCAAGAAAGCGUGGGGAGCAAACAGGAUUAGAUACCUUGGUAGUCCACUCCAUAAAGGAUGUCAACUAGUUGUAGUGGAUUCAUUUCCUUAGUAAGGUAGCUAACGAGUGAAGUUGCCCGCGUGGGGAGUACGGUCGCAAGAUUAAAACUCAAAGGAAUUGGCGCGGACCCGCACAAGCGGUGGAUGAUUUGGAUUAAUUCGAUGCAACGAGAAAAACCUUACCUACCCUUGACAUGUACGGAAUCAUGGUGAGAUUUGGGAGUGCUAGAAAGAGAACCGUCACACAGGUGCUGCAUGUCGGUCGUCAGCUUGUGUCGUGAGAUGUUGGAUUAAGUCCCGCAACGAGCGCAACCUUUGUCGUUAGUUGAUACGCAAGAGCACUCUAGGGAGACUGCCGGUGACAAACCGGAGGAAGGUGGGGAUGACGUCAAGUCCUCUUGGCCCUUAUGGGUAGGGCUUCACACGUCAUACAAUGGUCGGUACAGAGGGUUGCCAAACCGCGAGGUGGAGCUAAUCCCAGAAAACCAAUCGUAGUCCGGAUCGCAGUCUGCAACUCGAGUGUGUGAAGUUGGAAUCGCUAGUAAUCGCGGAUCAGCAUGUCGCGGUGAAUACGUUCCCGGGUCUUUUACAUCACCUUCCGUCACACCAAUGGGACGUGGGUUCUGCCAGAAGUAGGUAGCCU
rnacentral:rRNA from 1 species